GACGAACGCUGGCGGCGUGCUUAACACAUGCAAGUCGAACGAUGAACCCGGAGCUUGCUCCGGUGGAUUAGUGGCGAACGGGUGAGUAACACGUGAGUAACCUGCCCUUGACUCUGGGAUAACUGCGGGAAACUGUAGCUAAUACCGGAUACGACCCUCGGCGGCAUCGCCAGGGGGUGGAAAGAAUUUCGGUCAAGGAUGGACUCGCGGCCUAUCAGCUAGUUGGUGAGGUAACGGCUCACCAAGGCGACGACGGGUAGCCGGCCUGAGAGGGAGACCGGCCCCACGGGGACUGGGAUACGGCGCAGACUCCUACGGGAGGCAGCAGUGGGGAAUAUUGCACAAUGGUCGCAAGCCUGAUGCAGCAACGCCGCGGGAGGGAUGACGGCCUUCAGGUUGUAAACCUCUUUUAGCAGGGAAGAAGCGAAAGUGACGGGACCUGCAGAAAAAGCACCGGCUAACUACGUGCCAGCCGCCGCCGUAA
rnacentral:rRNA from 1 species